rnacentral:rRNA from 1 species
GUGUCAGCAGCCGCGGUAAUACGUAGGGGGCAAGCGUUGUCCGGAUUUAUUGGGCGUAAAGCGCGCGUAGGCGGCUUGGUAUGUCGUGCGUGAAAUCUCCCGGCUUAACUGGGAGGGGCCGUGCGAAACUGCCGGGCUUGAGGUCAGAAGGGGAAAGUGGAAUUCCGGGUGUAGUGGUGGAAUACGUAGAUAUCCGGAGGAACACCAGCGGCGAAGGCGGCUUUCUGGUCUGAUACUGACGCUGAGGCGCGAAAGCGUGGGGAGCGAUCCGGAUUAGAUACCCCCGUAGUCC